rnacentral:rRNA from 1 species
CCUACGGGAGGCAGCAGUGAGGAAUAUUGGUCAAUGGCCGGAAGGCUGAACCAGCCAAGCCGCGUGAAGGACGAAGGUGCCAAGCAUUGUAAACUUCUUUUGUCAAGGGACAAAAUCAGGCUCGAGAGCCUGACCGAGGGUACUUGAAGAAAAAGCAUCGGCUAACUCCGUGCCAGCAGCCGCGGUAAUCCGGGGGAUGCGGGCGUUAUCCGUAUUUAUUGGGUUUAAAGGGGGCGUAGGCGGGCUGUUAAGUCAGCGGUAAAAGCCCGGGGCUCAACCCCGGCGAGCCGAUGAAACUGGGAGACUUGAGAUGUCGAGAGGUAUGCGGAAUGCGCGGUGUAGCGGUGAAAUGCUUAGAUAUUGCGCAGAACUCCGAUUGCGAAGGCAGCAUACCGGCGGCGAUCUGACGCUGAGGCACGAAGGCGAGGGUAGCGAACAGGAUUAGAUACCCGGGUAGUC